AGACGUCCUGCCCACCAGUGAACAAGCUCAUGGACCUCUGGCCUGGUCUCAAAAUAGAGUCUGAGAUAUAUGCAGAGUUCCAGCGGAUUACAAAUCCGAACCUGCCGAACACAUUCUAUGCUGGGCUUGACUGCCAUCUUCCUCAACUGAUGACCUUAUUCAGACAGAAGGCAUCAAAAACUGGGAAGACAGUGGAUGCUCUAGGUGACAUUUAAAAAAUCCACAAUGAACAGGACAUACACGACAUCCACACCAAGCGCAUUACUGUUCUCCACUCCCUUCCUGUGUAUCUGCGUAAGGAUGUUUCUGGAUUUGUCAGAACCUGCAUAGU